rnacentral:rRNA from 1 species
UUGUUGCAGUUAAAAAGCUCGUAGUCGGAUUUCAGUAUGUGAUUGACGCCUCCUCAGGAGGUUGUGAAUCAGUACUUCUUUGGCAGGAACUUUCAUGCCUUUAAUUAGGUGUGUUUGGGGACUGCCUCUUUUACUUUGAGAAAAUUAGAGUGUUCAAAGCGGGUAAUCGCCAGAAUAUUACUCUUGGAAUAAUACUAUAGGACUCCGGUUCUUUUUUGUUGGUGAUUUAGGACCGGAGUAAUGAUUGAUAGGGACAGUUGGGGUCAUUCGUACUGCAAAGCGAGUGGUGAAAUACUUGGACCUUUGUAUGACGAACUACUGCGAAAGCAUUUGACUAGGAUGUUCCCGUUGAUCAAGAACGAAAGUUGGGGGAUCGAAGACGAUCAGAUACCGUCGUAGUCUCAACCAUAAACUAUGCCAGCUAGGGAUUGGAGGGAGUUUCAUGUUGACCCCUUCAGCACCUUAUGAGAAAUCAAAGCAUUUGGGUUCCGGGGGGAGUAUGGUCGCAAGGCUGAAACUUAAAGGAAUUGACGGGAGGGCACCACCAGGAGUGGAGCCUGCGGCUUAAUUUGAUUCAACACGGGA